rnacentral:rRNA from 1 species
GGGCGUUAAGUUGCAGGGUAUAGACCCGAAACCCGGUGAUCUAGCCAUGGGCAGGUUGAAGGUUGGGUAACACUAACUGGAGGACCGAACCGACUAAUGUUGAAAAAUUAGCGGAUGACCUGUGGCUGGGGGUGAAAGGCCAAUCAAACCGGGAGAUAGCUGGUUCUCCCCGAAAGCUAUUUAGGUAGCGCCUCGUGAAUUCAUCUCCGGGGGUAGAGCACUGUUUCGGCUAGGGGGCCAUCCCGG